UACGAAGGGGGCUAGCGUUGCUCGGAAUCACUGGGCGUAAAGGGUGCGUAGGCGGGUCUUUAAGUCAGGGGUGAAAUCCUGGAGCUCAACUCCAGAACUGCCUUUGAUACAGCAAGUCUUGAGUUCGAGAGAGGUGGGUGGAAUUCCUAGUGUAGAGGUGAAAUUCGUAGAUAUUAGGAAGAACACCGGUGGCGAAGGCGGCCCACUGGCUCGAUACUGACGCUGAGGUGCGAAAGCGUGGGGAGCAAACAGG
rnacentral:rRNA from 1 species